rnacentral:rRNA from 1 species
GGUUAAGCGACUAAGCGUACACGGUGGAUGCCCUGGCAGUCAGAGGCGAUGAAGGACGUGCUAAUCUGCGAUAAGCGUCGGUAAGGUGAUAUGAACCGUUAUAACCGGCGAUUUCCGAAUGGGGAAACCCAGUGUGAUUCGUCACACUAUCAUUAACUGAAUCCAUAGGUUAAUGAGGCGAACCGGGGGAACUGAAACAUCUAAGUACCCCGAGGAAAAGAAAUCAACCGAGAUUCCCCCAGUAGCGGCGAGCGAACGGGGAGCAGCCCAGAGCCUGAAUCAGUGUGUGUGUUAGUGGAAGCGUCUGGAAAGGCGCGCGAUACAGGGUGACAGCCCCGUACACAAAAAUGCACAUGCUGUGAGCUCGAUGAGUAGGGCGGGACACGUGGUAUCCUGUCUGAAUAUGGGGGACCAUCCUCCAAGGCUAAAUACUCCUGACUGACCGAUAGUGAACCAGUACCGUGAGGGAAAGGCGAAAAGAACCCCGGCGAGGGGAGUGAAAAAGAACCUGAAACCGUGUACGUACAAGCAGUGGGAGCACGCUUAGGCGUGUGACUGCGUACCUUUUGUAUAAUGGGUCAGCGACUUAUAUUCUGUAGCAAGGUUAACCGAAUAGGGGAGCCGAAGGGAAACCGAGUCUUAACUGGGCGUUAAGUUGCAGGGUAUAGACCCGAAACCCGGUGAUCUAGCCAUGGGCAGGUUGAAGGUUGGGUAACACUAACUGGAGGACCGAACCGACUAAUGUUGAAAAAUUAGCGGAUGACUUGUGGCUGGGGGUGAAAGGCCAAUCAAACCGGGAGAUAGCUGGUUCUCCCCGAAAGCUAUUUAGGUAGCGCCUCGUGAAUUCAUCUCCGGGGGUAGAGCACUGUUUCGGCAAGGGGGUCAUCCCGACUUACCAACCCGAUGCAAACUGCGAAUACCGGAGAAUGUUAUCACGGGAGACACACGGCGGGUGCUAACGUCCGUCGUGAAGAGGGAAACAACCCAGACCGCCAGCUAAGGUCCCAAAGUCAUGGUUAAGUGGGAAACGAUGUGGGAAGGCCCAGACAGCCAGGAUGUUGGCUUAGAAGCAGCCAUCAUUUAAAGAAAGCGUAAUAGCUCACUGGUCGAGUCGGCCUGCGCGGAAGAUGUAACGGGGCUAAACCAUGCACCGAAGCUGCGGCAGCGACGCUUAUGCGUUGUUGGGUAGGGGAGCGUUCUGUAAGCCUGUGAAGGUGUGCUGUGAGGCAUGCUGGAGGUAUCAGAAGUGCGAAUGCUGACAUAAGUAACGAUAAAGCGGGUGAAAAGCCCGCUCGCCGGAAGACCAAGGGUUCCUGUCCAACGUUAAUCGGGGCAGGGUGAGUCGACCCCUAAGGCGAGGCCGAAAGGCGUAGUCGAUGGGAAACAGGUUAAUAUUCCUGUACUUGGUGUUACUGCGAAGGGGGGACGGAGAAGGCUAUGUUGGUCGGGCGACGGUUGUCCCGGUUUAAGCGUGUAGGCUGGUUUUCCAGGCAAAUCCGGAAAAUCAAGGCUGAGGCGUGAUGACGAGGCACUACGGUGCUGAAGCAACAAAUGCCCUGCUUCCAGGAAAAGCCUCUAAGCAUCAGGUAACAUCAAAUCGUACCCCAAACCGACACAGGUGGUCAGGUAGAGAAUACCAAGGCGCUUGAGAGAACUCGGGUGAAGGAACUAGGCAAAAUGGUGCCGUAACUUCGGGAGAAGGCACGCUGAUAUGUAGGUGAAGUCCCUCGCGGAUGGAGCUGAAAUCAGUCGAAGAUACCAGCUGGCUGCAACUGUUUAUUAAAAACACAGCACUGUGCAAACACGAAAGUGGACGUAUACGGUGUGACGCCUGCCCGGUGCCGGAAGGUUAAUUGAUGGGGUCAGCGCAAGCGAAGCUCUUGAUCGAAGCCCCGGUAAACGGCGGUACGUAACUAUAACGGUCCUAAGGUAGCGAAAUUCCUUGUCGGGUAAGUUCCGACCUGCACGAAUGGCGUAAUGAUGGCCAGGCUGUCUCCACCCGAGACUCAGUGAAAUUGAACUCGCUGUGAAGAUGCAGUGUACCCGCGGCAAGACGGAAAGACCCCGUGAACCUUUACUAUAGCUUGACACUGAACAUUGAGCCUUGAUGUGUAGGAUAGGUGGGAGGCUUAGAAGUGUGGACGCCAGUCUGCAUGGAGCCGACCUUGAAAUACCACCCUUUAAUGUUUGAUGUUCUAACGUUGACCCGUAAUCCGGGUUGCGGACAGUGUCUGGUGGGUAGUUUGACUGGGGCGGUCUCCUCCUAAAGAGUAACGGAGGAGCACGAAGGUUGGCUAAUCCUGGUCGGACAUCAGGAGGUUAGUGCAAUGGCAUAAGCCAGCUUGACUGCGAGCGUGACGGCGCGAGCAGGUGCGAAAGCAGGUCAUAGUGAUCCGGUGGUUCUGAAUGGAAGGGCCAUCGCUCAACGGAUAAAAGGUACUCCGGGGAUAACAGGCUGAUACCGCCCAAGAGUUCAUAUCGACGGCGGUGUUUGGCACCUCGAUGUCGGCUCAUCACAUCCUGGGGCUGAAGUAGGUCCCAAGGGUAUGGCUGUUCGCCAUUUAAAGUGGUACGCGAGCUGGGUUUAGAACGUCGUGAGACAGUUCGGUCCCUAUCUGCCGUGGGCGCUGGAGAACUGAGGGGGCUGCUCCUAGUACGAGAGGACCGGAGUGGACGCAUCACUGGUGUUCGGGUUGUCAUGCCAAUGGCACUGCCCGGUAGCUAAAUGCGGAAGAGAUAAGUGCUGAAAGCAUCUAAGCACGAAACUUGCCCCGAGAUGAGUUCUCCCUGACUCCUUGAGAGUCCUGAAGGAACGUUGAAGACGACGACGUUGAUAGGCCGGGUGUGUAAGCGCAGCGAUGCGUUGAGCUAACCGGUACUAAUGAACCGUGAGGCUUAACCUU